rnacentral:rRNA from 1 species
GACGAACGCUGGCGGCGUGCCUAAUACAUGCAAGUUGAGCGCUGAAGGUUGGUACUUGUACCAACUGGAUGAGCAGCGAACGGGUGAGUAACGCGUGGGGAAUCUGCCUUUGAGCGGGGGACAACAUUUGGAAACGAAUGCUAAUACCGCAUAAAAACUUUAAACACAAGUUUUAAGUUUGAAAGAUGCAAUUGCAUCACUCAAAGAUGAUCCCGCGUUGUAUUAGCUAGUUGGUGAGGUAAAGGCUCACCAAGGCGAUGAUACAUAGCCGACCUGAGAGGGUGAUCGGCCACAUUGGGACUGAGACACGGCCCAAACUCCGACGGGAGGCAGCAGUAGGGAAUCUUAGGCAAUGGAAGAAAGUCUGACCGAGCAACGCCGCGUGAGUGAAGAAGGUUUUCGGAUCGUAAAACUCUGUUGGUAGAGAAGAACGUUGGUGAGAGUGGAAAGCUCAUCAAGUGACGGUAACUACCCAGAAAGGGACGGCUAACUACGUG